rnacentral:rRNA from 1 species
UACGGAGGGUGCAAGCGUUAUCCGGAUUCACUGGGUUUAAAGGGUGUGUAGGCGGGCUGUUAGGUCAGUGGUGAAAUCUCCGGGCUCAACCCGGAAACUGCCAUUGAUACUAAUGGUCUUGAAUUUUGUUGAGGUAGGCGGAAUAUGUCAUGUAGCGGUGAAAUGCUUAGAUAUGACAUAGAACACCGAUUGCGAAGGCAGCUUACUAAGCAAAUAUUGACGCUGAGGCACGAAAGCGUGGGGAUCAAACAGG